UCUGGCGACCGGCGCACGGGUGAGUAACACGUAUCCAACCUGCCCUUUACUCAGGGAUAGCCUUUCGAAAGAAAGAUUAAUACCCGAUAGCAUAAUGAUUCCGCAUGGUUUCAUUAUUAAAGGAUUCCGGUAAAGGAUGGGGAUGCGUUCCAUUAGGUUGUUGGUGAGGUAACGGCUCACCAAGCCUUCGAUGGAUAGGGGUUCUGAGAGGAAGGUCCCCCACAUUGGAACUGAGACACGGUCCAA
rnacentral:rRNA from 1 species